rnacentral:tRNA from 1 species
GUAUAGCAGAGUGGUAAGCGUUUCGGACUCGCAUUCUGAAGGUCCUGCGUUCGAACCCUAG